CGGGCCUAACCAUGCAGUCGAACGGCAGCACAGAAGAGCUUGCUCUUUGGGUGGCGAGUGGCGGACGGGUGAGUAAUGUCUGGGAAACUGCCCGAUGGAGGGGGAUAACUACUGGAAACGGUAGCUAAUACCGCAUAACGUCGCAAGACCAAAGUGGGGGACCUUCGGGCCUCACACCAUCGGAUGUGCCCAGAUGGGAUUAGCUAGUAGGUGGGGUAAUGGCUCACCUAGGCGACGAUCCCUAGCUGGUCUGAGAGGAUGACCAGCCACACUGGAACUGAGACACGGUCCAGACUCCUACGGGAGGCAGCAGUGGGGAAUAUUGCACAAUGGGCGCAAGCCUGAUGCAGCCAUGCCGCGUGUAUGAAGAAGGCCUUCGGGUUGUAAAGUACUUUCAGCGGGGAGGAAGGCGGUGAGGUUAAUAACCUUGCCGAUUGACGUUACCCGCAGAAAGAAGCACCGGCUAACUCCGUGCCAGCAGCCGCGGUAAUACGGAGGGUGCAAGCGUUAAUCGGAAUUACUGGGCGUAAAGCGCACGCAGGCGGUCUGUUAAGUCAGAUGUGAAAUCCCCGGGCUUAACCUGGGAACUGCAUUUGAAACUGGCAGGCUUGAGUCUCGUAGAGGGGGGUAGAAUUCCAGGUGUAGCGGUGAAAUGCGUAGAGAUCUGGAGGAAUACCGGUGGCGAAGGCGGCCCCCUGGACGAAGACUGACGCUCAGGUGCGAAAGCGUGGGGAGCAAACAGGAUUAGAUACCCUGGUAGUCCACGCCGUAAACGAUGUCGACUUGGAGGUUGUGCCCUUGAGGCGUGGCUUCCGGAGCUAACGCGUUAAGUCGACCGCCUGGGGAGUACGGCCGCAAGGUUAAAACUCAAAUGAAUUGACGGGGGCCCGCACAAGCGGUGGAGCAUGUGGUUUAAUUCGAUGCAACGCGAAGAACCUUACCUGGCCCUUGACAUCCAGAGAACUUAGCAGAGAUGCUUUGGUGCCCUUCGGGAACUCUGAGACAGGUGCUGCAUGGCCUGUCGUCAGCUCGUGUUGUGAAAUGUUGGGUUAAGUCCCGCAACGAGCGCAACCCUUAUCCUUUGUUGCCAGCGGUUCGGCCGGGAACUCAAAGGAGACUGCCGGUGAUAAACCGGAGGAAGGUGGGGAUGACGUCAAGUCAUCAUGGCCCUUACGGCCAGGGCUACACACGUGCUACAAUGGCGCAUACAAAGAGAAGCGACCUCGCGAGAGCAAGCGGACCUCAUAAAGUGCGUCGUAGUCCGGAUUGGAGUCUGCAACUCGACUCCAUGAAGUCGGAAUCGCUAGUAAUCGUAGAUCAGAAUGCUACGGUGAAUACGUUCCCGGGCCUUGUACACACCGCCCGUCACACCAUGGGAGUGGGUUGCAAAAGAAGUAGGUAGCUUAACCUUCGGGAGGGCGCUUACCCACUU
rnacentral:rRNA from 1 species